ACGCUAGCUACAGGCUUAACACAUGCAAGUCGAGGGCAGCGGGUUGAAAGCUUGCUUUCAAUGCCGGCGACCGGCGCACGGGUGCGUAACGCGUAUCAAACCUGCCUCAUACUCGGGGAUAGCCUUGCGAAAGUAAGAUUAAUACCCGAUGUUGUUGCUUUCUCGCAUGGGAGAGUAACCAAAGAUUUAUCGGUAUGAGAUGGUGAUGCGUCCGAUUAGGUAGUAGGCGGGGUAACGGCCCACCUAGCCUUCGAUCGGUAGGGGUUCUGAGAGGAAGGUCCCCCACACUGGAACUGAGACACGGUCCAGACUCCUACGGGAGGCAGCAGUGAGGAAUAUUGGUCAAUGGGCGAGAGCCUGAACCAGCCAAGUAGCGUGCAGGAUGACGGCCCUCCGGGUUGUAAACUGCUUUUAGUUGGGAAUAAAAAAAGGGACUUGUCCCUUCUUGUAUGUACCUUCAGAAAAAGGACCGGCUAAUUCCGUGCCAGCAGCCGCGGUAAUACGGAAGGUCCAGGCGUUAUCCGGAUUUAUUGGGUUUAAAGGGAGCGUAGGCGGAUUGUUAAGUCAGCGGUUAAAGGGUGUGGCUCAACCAUGCAUUGCCGUUGAAACUGGCGAUCUUGAGUGCAGACAGGGAUGCCGGAAUUCGUGGUGUAGCGGUGAAAUGCUUAGAUAUCACGAAGAACUCCGAUCGCGAAGGCGGGUGUCCGGGCUGCAACUGACGCUGAGGCUCGAAAGUGUGGGUAUCAAACAGGAUUAGAUACCCUGGUAGUCCACACAGUAAACGAUGUAUACUCGCGGUUUGCGAUAGAUUGUAAGCCGCCAAGCGAAAGCAUUAAGUAUACCACCUGGGGAGUACGCCGGCUACGGUGAAACUCAAAGGAAUUGACGGGGGCCCGCACAAGCGGAGGAAC
rnacentral:rRNA from 1 species